rnacentral:rRNA from 1 species
GAUGAACGCUGGCGGCAUGCCUAAUACAUGCAAGUCGAACGAGAGGAAGGAAAGCUUGCUUUUCUGAAUCUAGUGGCGAACGGGUGAGUAACACGUAGGUAACCUGCCCAUGUGCCCGGGAUAACUUCUGGAAACGGAUGCUAAAACCGGAUAGGUAGCAGACAAGCAUUUGACUGCUAUUAAAGUGGCCUUGGCCAUGAACAUGGAUGGACCUGCGGUGCAUUAGCUGGUUGGUGAGGUAACGGCCCACCAAGGCGACGAUGCAUAGCCGGCCUGAGAGGGCGGACGGCCACAUUGGGACUGAGACACGGCCCAAACUCCUACGGGAGGCAGCAGUAGGGAAUUUUCGUCAAUGGGGGGAACCCUGAACGAGCAAUGCCGCGUGAGUGAGGAAGGUCUUCGGAUCGUAAAGCUCUGUUGUAAGAGAAAAACGGCACUCAUAGGGAAUGAUGAGUGAGUGAUGGUAUCUUACCAGAAAGUCAC